GUAGGUGGCAAGCGUUGUCCGGAAUUAUUGGGCGUAAAGCGCGCGCAGGCGGUUCUUUAAGUCUGAUGUGAAAGCCCACGGCUCAACCGUGGAGGGUCAUUGGAAACUGGAGAACUUGAGUACAGAAGAGGAAAGGGGAAUUCCACGUGUAGCGGUGAAAUGCGUAGAGAUGUGGAGGAACACCAGUGGCGAAGGCGGCUUUCUGGUCUGUAACUGACGCUGAGGCGCGAAAGCGUGGGGAGCAAACAGGGAUUAGAUACCCUGGUAGUCCACGCCGUAAACGAUGAGUGCUAAGUGUUAGGGGGUUUCCCGCCCCUUAGUGCUGCAGCUAACGCAUUAAGCACUCCGCCUGGGGAGUACGGCCGCAAGGCUG
rnacentral:rRNA from 1 species